UACGUAGGGGGGCAAGCGUUGUCCGGAUUUAUUGGGCGUAAAGAGCGUGUAGGCGGCUUGGUAGGUCCGCUGUGAAAACUCGAGGCUCAACCUCGAGAUGUCGGCGGAAACCACUUGGCUAGAGUCCGGAAGAGGAGAGUGGAAUUCCCGGUGUAGCGGUGAAAUGCGCAGAUAUCGGGAAGAACACCUAUGGCGAAGGCAGCUCUCUGGGGCCGAUAUCGACGCUGAGGAGCGAAAGACGUGGGGAGCGAACAGG
rnacentral:rRNA from 1 species